UACGUAGGGUGCAAGCGUUAAUCGGAAUUACUGGGCGUAAAGCGUGCGCAGGCGGUUUUGUAAGUCUGUCGUGAAAUCCCCGGGCUUAACCUGGGAAUGGCGAUGGAGACUGCAAGGCUAGAAUCUGGCAGAGGGGGGUAGAAUUCCACGUGUAGCAGUGAAAUGCGUAGAGAUGUGGAGGAACACCGAUGGCGAAGGCAGCCCCCUGGGUUAACACUGACGCUCAGGCACGAAAGCGUGGGGAGCAAACAGG
rnacentral:rRNA from 1 species